CACGUAGUCUGAACACUGGGGG
rnacentral:miRNA from 1 species